AAAUCGACACCCAAGUACAAAAGAGACACACACACAGUUCAAAGUAAGGAAUUGACUUGAUGUGAUUAUGCAUAUUUCCUUCAAUUGGCUCUUGUGCAACUGGUGGAAAAGGAAGAAGCAUAACAAAGGUAGCUAAGUAGGUUUUGCUCUGAUGUAUAACGUAGGUUCUGGUUUAUCUAGGUGAAUUUAUGCACGGAUAGUUGAUUAUUGUGUUUUUUAGUAGCCAACAUUGGAUGAAUACCGUUGGUUGUUUCUCUGAACCUUGCAAUCUGGAGCUGGGUCGUAAGUUUUAGUUGGGUUGACGUCCUA